rnacentral:rRNA from 1 species
AUUGAACGCUGGCGGCAUGCCUUACACAUGCAAGUCGAACGGCAGCGGGGGAGAAGCUUGCUUUUCCUGCCGGCGAGUGGCGAACGGGUGAGUAAUACAUCGGAACGUGCCCUGUAGUGGGGGAUAACUAGUCGAAAGAUUAGCUAAUACCGCAUACGACCUGAGGGUGGAAGUGGGGGACCGCAAGGCCUCAUGCUAUAGGAGCGGCCGAUGUCUGAUUAGCUAGUUGGUGGGGUAAAGGCCUACCAAGGCGACGAUCAGUAGCUGGUCUGAGAGGACGGUCAGCCACACUGGGACUGAGACACGGCCCAGAAUCCUACGGGAGGCAGCAGUGGGGAAUUUUGGACAAUGGGAGAAAGCCUGCUCCAGCAAUGCCGCGUGUGUGAAGGAGGCCUUCGGGUUGUAAAGCACUUUUGUCCGGAAAGAAAUGGCUCUGGUUAAUACCUGGGGUCGAUGACGGUACCGGAAGAAUAAGGACCGGCUAACUACGUGCCAGCCGCCGCGGUAA